GAGGGUAUAGCUCAGUAGUAGAGUGUGUGCUUGGCAUAUGUGAGGCCCUGGGUUCAGUCCCCAGUACUUCCA
rnacentral:tRNA from 1 species